rnacentral:rRNA from 1 species
GUUCACAAUGAUUUCGGCGGUGAUUUCGCCCUUGUCCGUGGUCACCAACCACUCGCCAUUGGGCUUUUGCGCCAAAGCCGUCACGCGGGUGUGGCGGCGAAUCGUGCCGCCCAGCAGCCGCGCUUCGCGCGCCAGGGCCUGCGUCAGCUGCGAGGGGUCAAUAUCGCCAUCCAACGGAUCCCACAGCGCGCCUUGCAGGUCGUGAGUUUCAAUGAGGGGGUAGCGGUCUUUGAGCUCCGAGGGCGACAGAAUUUCGUAUUCCAGGCCGUUGGCCUUAGCCAUGCUUUUGACAUGGUGGAACUCGUCCAUCCGGUUACGGCCGUGCGCCAGACGCACCGAGCCGGUCAGGUGGUAAUUGAUCGGGGACCCGCACAAGCGGUGGAUGAUGUGGUUUAAUUCGAUGCAACGCGAAAAACCUUACCCACCUUUGACAUGUACGGAAGCCUUUAGAGAUAGAGGCGUGCUCGAAAGAGAGCCGUAACACAGGUGCUGCAUGGCUGUCGUCAGCUCGUGUCGUGAGAUGUUGGGUUAAGUCCCGCAACGAGCGCAACCCUUGUCAUUAGUUGCUACAUUUAGUUGGGCACUCUAAUGAGACUGCCGGUGACAAACCGGAGGAAGGUGGGGAUGACGUCAAGUCCUCAUGGCCCUUAUAGGUGGGGCUACACACGUCAUACAAUGGCUGGUACAAAGGGUUGCCAACCCGCGAGGGGGAGCUAAUCCCACAAAGCCAGUCGUAGUCCGGAUCGUAGUCUGCAACUCGACUACGUGAAGUCGGAAUCGCUAGUAAUCGUGGAUCAGAAUGUCACGGUGAAUACGUUCCCGGGUCUUGUACACACCGCCCGUCACACCAUGGGAGCGGGUUCUGCCAGAAGUAGUUAGCCUAACCGCAAGGAGGGCGAUUACCACGGCAGGGUUCGUGACUGGGGUGAAGUCGUAACAAGGUAGCCGUAUCGGAAGGUGCGGCUG